rnacentral:lncRNA from 1 species
UCUUACAUCUCAGUACAACAGAAUCAGGACAAAGUCUGUGCUGCUUUGUACAGAUGUAUUUUCUUGAAUCCUGAAAUGAUGACGUGAAUGUCUCUAUAACGAAAGAAGUAAAUACAGUAAAAUGGAUGCUUUAAUGCAUACAUUAUUGCCAUUUAGAACUAGGAAGUAGGAUUCACUGCAAAAAAAAAUUGGAGUUGGCUUUUUGGAGUUCUGGAUCAGUAUUAAAAAAUUGGUAUUGCAUUACUUCUGUACUUACAAGCUCAUAAUACAUUGCAAGUAUUAGAGUUUUGAUAUUUAUAGUAUUGGCGUUGUUGUAGUUGCUAUCAUUGGGUAGUACUUUUCAUUAGGACUGUUCAUGGAUCUUGAAUUCUUCGCCUGAACUAAAAAACUGUACUGAAUCGAACUGAAAUUGAAAAUGAAUUGAAUGGAUAAUGCAGAAGUCGAACUAUUUAGCUAUUUGGUUUUGAUUUUAAUUUUUUGUCAAGAAUCUGAUUAAAAUGGUACUAAAUUGAAAUUAAGA